GAUGAACGCUAGCUACAGGCUUAACACAUGCAAGUCGAGGUGCAGCAUGAAGUUUGCUGGCAAACUUUGAUGGCGACCGGCGCACGGGUGAGUAACGCGUAUCCAACCUGCCUCGUACUCGGGUAUAGCCCAGCGAAAGCUGGAUUAAUCCCCGAUGUCACCUUUAUGGUGCAUGACUUAUUGGUUAACGUUAUUUGGUACGGGAUGGGGAUGCGUCUGAUUAGGUAGUAGGCGGGGUAAAGGCCCAGCUAGCCGACGACCAGUAGGGGUUCUGAGAGGAAGGUCACCCACACGGGAACUGAGACACGGUCCAGACACCUACGGGAGGCAGCAGUGAGGAAUAUUGGUCAAUGGGCGAGAGCCUGAACCAGCCAAGUAGCGUGCAGGAUGACGGCCCGACGGGUUGUAAACUGCUUUUAUGCGGGAAUAAAGAUAUCUACGUGUAGAUAGUUGCAUGUACCGCAUGAAUAAGGACCGGCUAAUUCCGUGCUAGCCGCCGCGGUAACAC
rnacentral:rRNA from 1 species